rnacentral:snRNA from 1 species
UUCACUUUGGGUCCCUCAACUUUAUAUCGAGUUUAAUAUCGGAUAUGUGGGCCAUGUUCGCAUGGCCUGCUUCUGUAUCCAAAUAUAACAAUUUGUUAUGGGGAAGGGCCCAUUAGUGGUUCUGCCACUAGGGCCCUUGCGCGUUGCCGAGGCGUUGCACUGCUGCCCGGGCCGGCGCACCCCAA